AAAGGAAGAAGAAGAAGAAGGAGAAAAAACAGAAGAAGAAGAAGAGGAGGAGGAAGAAGAGUAAUUAAAAACAUAAUACUCUCCAUUUGCUGCAAGGAUGGCUGAAACCCUAACAGUUGCUUGAAUUGUUUAGUAAUUAUUGCAAUUAUCAGAAAAUCUAGAAUUCCGAAUUUUUAAUUAGAAAAGAAAUUUUUUUCUAAAAAAAUAUUGUACCAAUUAUUAUUGUUGGAGUUUAAGAGUUAAGAAAAUAACUCUAUAUUAGAUGGCCCACGUAAUCUAGCACUCAAAACUUUCUUAAAAACAGGCAUGUUUAUAAGUAUCACGAUAUAAGAAACGUCCCGCGAAACAUGACAUUUCGUGAGACAACCUGUACUUUAAUUGGCAAAAAACAAUUAUUGUUAAAUUAAUAUUUCAAACCGAACAAAAAUGACAAAGCUGAUAUAUUAAGUAGCUGGUGUGCAAAAUGUUCUUAAGUAAAAAAUGUUUGUGAGUUUUUGAAAAUUAAAAAAAAUAUGUAAAAAUAAAUAAAAAUAUAUUAA